rnacentral:lncRNA from 1 species
CCAUCCUGCUGACUUCCCAGGCUGUGGGGCAGAUGCUGCCGCUCGGAACCCACCCGUGCCCUGCAGACGUACAGGUGUGAGAAGUCUCCUCCCUCAUCAUCCCCUUCAGGCAGCAGCUACUGCUGAGGAGUUGGGGCCGCAUGUUGUGAGGGCCCCAUUCACAGCUUGGGAGCCAGGCUGCAGUGUUCAAGCUCAGCCCCUCUACCUCCUCCCUCCUCCUCUGGUUGGUGAGAAUGUGCUAGUCCUCCGGCUGGGUGUUGAAGGGACUCAACGAGCUAACGCGUCCAGCAUACCCAGCGCUUGGAAGUCGACACAGGCGUGACUGAGGGGAUUUGUCAUCGCCAUGAUUACUACUACAGCCACCCGAUUUACUGCUGUCUUUAGGAGUUUUCUGAUCAGACACACUGAGGACACGCAUGGUGAUUAUGUCUGUGGGUCAGUGUUAGUGUUAGCUAGUCAGUGUUGCCGUUGACUUAUCCCUUGUUUUGGAUUCCAUAACAUCUUCCCACUCAAAACUUUCAGCCGGGUUUCCACAAUCGCACGACUCGAAGCAUCCUCUAAGCUUUCCAGAGAGGGGCAGUUGUUUGUGUUAAUUGUGUCUUAUUUCCUAAUGAAUUUUUGUAUCUUAUAUGUAAAUAUUAUCAUGCAUGUUUUAAAGUAGAAUUCCCUUUCAGAUGGCUCUGAC